GCCUGAGUGGCGGAAUUGGUAGACGCGCACGACUCAAACUCGUGUUCCAUUGGAGUGCCGGUUCGACCCCGGCCUCAGGUACAA
rnacentral:tRNA from 1 species